GGAAUGAAGUGCCGGCGGCCGGGGGCGCGGCAGCCGACAGCGAGGCUGGACGGCCGGGGCAAGAGCUGCCUGAUGGGGCCAGGGACGCGAGCUGUCACCUUGGAUGCCCACUCACUCGUGCCACGGCGCGCGAGCCCCCUGCCAGCACCCCGAGCCCGCUGCGCGCUCUUACCCAGAGUUUCCGCCGGCUCCCCAGGUCCCCGUGUCAUCCCCGGUCCCCGAUGCCCUCUGCGCACACGCUCCCCUUCCCGCAGCUGUCCUGGGCUGGGUUCGUGGCGCGUCCUCUCCCCUCGGACGCUCGCUGCUCUUGGUCAUGCGAGGACAGUGCCCUGACCUGGGGGCAGGACUCCUGGCUGGGUUUUUGGUACCGGUGUGGGCUGGGGUUCCCGGGAUGACCGGCUCGGUGUCUGAGACCCCGGCCCCUGUCCUGCCCGGUGCAUCCAGCGGGUCGGAAGAGCCACGUCUAGUGAGGCCGGGGCCUGGCCAGGGUCUAGGUGGGCAGAGACGCAGCGCUGAUGGUCCUGGGAGAGGGAGCACGGCUUGGGGUUGUGGGUUCUUGUGCCUGGAACAAGUAGGUGUGACAAAUGCUUGUGACUCAAGUGAAUGAACUGCUCAGAGUCUCCAGGAGCCCUCAUAGACCAGCCACUGGUACACCUCAUCCRCAAUGCAGAGCAGGUCAUGCUGCUGGCACAGCCUGGCCACCUGUGGGAGGCCAACCUUACAGGUGACUGAGACAGAACAAGCUGCUACUGCAGUAAGAUCUUGGCCAGGCAGGAGAAAAUGCAGACAAAAUCAAACAAAAUGCAAUCGGCUAGGAAAACUUGGGGAUCUUUUGCCCCGAAAAUGGGCAGCGGACUCCAUGUUGUUUGCAUCACCAUGGUAACCAUGGGGUGCCUGGCCGGAAGAGAGGCUUCCUGGUCCCACCUCCCACAUUUUUGCGGACUUUCGAUUGGCUCUUCCACAGUCACUCAGACAGGAUUUCUAGUCCCGCCUUCCAGCCACUAACUGUACUACUGUGUUUCAGAUUUCUACCUGAGCUGCUCAGAGCCUGUAUUUUUAAAAAUGCCUACCUGUAAAUGCUAACCAAAGAUAUCUUUUUCAGACAAAAUUUAAUUCCACAGGUUUCUAUGUUACAGUCCUAAAUUUAAGUUAGUUCUAAAUAACCUGACUUUUCUAUAUAGUUGUGUUACUAAAUAAUGUUCUAUUGAUGAGAGAUAUCAAACAURCUUCUUUAUAUUUUACUUUUAAUUUUGGAGGUUAUGUGGAUGCAUUUGCUCGACACAGGAACAAAGCCGGCCAUGUUCCUGUGAUGACCAAAAAAUCCUUAUUCUCAUUUCUGACUAUAAGAAGUAAAUAUGUAUGCACAAGGAUUUUAUUUCAGUUACAUCAAGUGGCCUCACAUAGAAGAGUGCACUCCUAGUUAAAAAUAAAUUAAAAUGGAUCCAAAUAUUUUAAGACCA
rnacentral:lncRNA from 1 species